UUGGAUUACUGUGCACUUCUGGAUCACAGACUGUAAGUAUUCAUGUUUAUUAUUUGCCUUUUACUGUACAUUACGUAACCGGUAACCGGAGAUUAACAUAAUGUGCGUGUAGAGCUAAGCUUGCAAGCUAAUUGUUUUGUGUUGUAAUACUGUAUUUCAUAAACAACGUACCAUAUUUACACACGUGUAUGUUGAAUUAUGCAUGCUUUCGUUUUUUUUAUCGAUGUUGGUUUAGACAUGUUUACAAACUUGCUAAGAUAAAUACAAAUACAAAUGCCAGCUAAACUGUUACCGGUAAAAUUUGUUCUCAUGAUCAAACUCAAGAAACUCUAAGUACAGAUGAUUUGUUUAAAGUUAUAUGUAUUUUACUGUUGUAUUUACUUGAAGCUUUCUUAGAUUUUGAAACGAAGUAAACACGUAAUGUGUGUUGCUAAUGUUGGGCCAUGUAAUAUGUAAUACAUUAACGUUUUAAUGAAUAGUCUAACGAUUUAUAGUCGUUGUACUCUAUUGUUAUAAUAUUUCUUUUUGACUGAAUACAUGUUUGUUUUAUUUGUCUAUAUCCUAGAUUCGCAGCUGUACACAUCCUUCUACACUGUAUGCAAACAUGCAACAUCAUUACACACAGUACAAGGAGUCAGACUGGCAUAUGAGGAGCAAAGGAACCCAGGCAGUAGCAUCGUUUCACAAUGUUUCCAUCACCAUCAUCAGUGGAUGCCUUUGCCGUCCGUAGCCUGAGAUUUCAGAUUUGCAGCAAAAAAAUUGAUUUUCUCAUUUAUUGGAAUGCUGUGCAGGUAUUUGUACCUUGCAGCCAUCCAUUACAAUGUCACCAAGCCGUAACAAAAGCAGGAGAGGGAAAGUACAAGGCUAUGUUCCCAAAACACACAAGUGACAUACCUUAUGUGGAUGAUGUGAUCAGGCUUGUGUUUGAUGAGGUAUUUGAAGAUAAGCUGAAGGAAACCCCGAUUCCAAUGGACCUGGCAUCACAAUUUGAGAGACCUUCAAAGGAGGACGUGAUUGCAUGCCAUCUUCAGUGCAGGGGUCGUCGAAAGCCAAAAUUGUGACCGAUCUGAUCAGGAAGCUCCA